UGGGUAAAGACUCUCAGAACCAUGGCGAUUCGGGAGACAACAAUCAAUCAUUACUUGAAGAACAUAGCACAGUUUAUGGACUAUGUGGCCGCAACACCCCCUCUGAGCUGCCGCCUCUCCAAGAGGGUCUUGUUGUCGAUCAGAAGGGAAGUGAGGAUGAUGCUGCAGUGCAUGAAUCGCCCCGCCACUUUGCACCAAAUGACGGUGAAGCGGGCCAAAGACGGGCAGCUCAUCUCCAAGGCCCUCUUGGAGAAGUGCAGGGAGGAGGCCAGACAGAAAAUUGCCCAAAUUAUCGAUGAGCUGGAAAAUACCAAGGCUCAGAAGACCCAGUUCAGAUUUUAUGGGUAUUUGACAGCGUUCCUGGCCUCGAUCUAUGGUCACCGCUGCGGGCUCUUCCAAAAUAUGACCAUAGAGGGUCAGGAACGCGACCAAGACAUCAAAUACUUACCUCAUCAAUGUCAACUUGCACAAGACCAACCAGGCCUUCGGAACGGCAGAAAUUGCGCUCUCCGCAGAGGAGUACAGCUGGUUCGAGCGGUUCCGGGCGAUGAGGAAGGAAUUGGUGGGCGGGGUCGAGGCCAAGCUAGUUUUUUUUUACAUCUAGUACAAAUCCGUGCAAAAAUCUGAACAGCCACUUCCAGGCAGCUUGGAAGGAGAUGGGGCUUCCAAAAUACCCCACAUUCACAGACCUCCGGUCGGCCAUCGCCACUCAUGCCAGGAACAAUGGCACCAUUGAGGACCGAUCAAAACUGUCCCGUUUCAUGUGUCACGACACAAGGACUGCGGACAAGUUCUACGCGUGUAACCUAAAUACCAAGGAGGCAUGGGAGCACAGGCAGCUCUUCGAGAAGGUGCUGGAGAGGGGCCUGACGUGCCGGACGAGCCCAUCGGCAAGGCCGGCAAGAGGUCUUGCAAGCGAAAGCGAAGUGACAAUGCGUCUCCGCUCACCUCACAGACCACAACUGAGGAUGAAGUGUAGCAGGUCUACCAGGAGUUGGGAGUGUCCUCGGUGGAUUCGGAAGAGAUAGAACUCAUCUGAUUGCGACCCAUCUAAGGCCCAGCCGUCCGUGGCCAGGCCCAUGAGCCAUUGUCCUGACGCCUCUGAAAAUUAGAUGGUCCCCGGCAGAGUCACCUUACAAGCUUUCCAAAGAAUACCCCUUCAGCGCCUGAUCCAGUGCCUGUCCUGCUCCAGUGAUCCUUUGCUCCGCACCUGACCCGCGUUUCCCCCGCCCCAGAGUUCCCCGACUACUCCACCCCUACCCAGCUCCAGCUGUUCCCUGUUCUGCCAUCCCCGUUGUUUGUUGUUUUUGUUCCUGACCUUCCCAGCUCCUGCCUCACCUCCCCAAUACCCCUUUAAGGGGUUUUCCUGUAAAUAGUUCCAUUUCAUGUUUUUACUUGUUUGUUAUUGUUCUGAUGUUCCAAUGUGUUUUUUAUUAUGUUCAAUAAAUGUUCCACCUUAUGUUUCAAAUGUC